rnacentral:tRNA from 1 species
GUUUUUAUAGUUGAAUACAACAUUGAUUUUUCAGGUCAAAAGUCUUGGUUAGAGGCCAAGUAAGAAUA